rnacentral:rRNA from 1 species
UACGUAGGAGACUAGCGUUGUCCGGAAUUACUGGGUGUAAAGCGCGUGUAGGCGGCAUACCAAGUCUGUUGUGAAAUCGCCCGGCUCAACUGGGCGGGGUCAAUGGAAACUGGUAAGCUGGAGGACGGUAGAGGCGAGUGGAAUUCCCGGUGUAGUGGUGAAAUGCGUAGAGAUCGGGAGGAACACCUGUGGCGAAGGCGGCUCGCUGGGCCGAUCCUGACGCUGAGACGCGAAGGCGUGGGGAGCGAACAGG